UGGUAUUGUCUUAUAUUUUUAUUUAAUUUUGUAUCUUUACUUUUUGUCUCAUGACGCUAUGACUAAGGAUCACUUUCUCAACCAGCUUUCUUACAUUCUCAACACAAAUCUCCUUUCCUCUACUCCUGUGUAUCUUGCGAAAGAAAUUCCAUUGCUUCCCACUUCCUCUGUUUAUGACGAAGUCGGCUGUCGUAGCUAAAUUGCGUGUAUGAAGAGAAAUUCAUCCCUACACCUGUUUCAUUUCAUAGGUCUCGCUUUUAGAUGCUCUCGCUGUCCCUCACAGCUUCGCUCUCCUCGUGUUGCUGCUCUUAGGGCCUAGUGUGUUGUGAUCCACUAUAUACUUAUCAUGAAACAAACAAAUCCAUCACUUCCGGAGGUGCAGGAUUUAUUGCCCUCACCCUCGCAUCUCCCCUCUUCCUGUCAAUCCCGCCACCAUGGUCUAGCUCGCUUCAGAUCAUUAUUACUAUACAAAUACUCAUUCGGCCACUCAAGGCACAGCAAGGAAAAAGGUAUAAUCAUUAUUUCUUUUUUUUUUUCGGUAAAAUGUUGUGGGAUUUAGCAUUCCUUGGUUCUCAGCCUUUUCCUCACCACCCAACCACCAUUCUACUUGCCUUACUCAUCCCAAGGAUUAUUUCCUAACGUGCGGUCAAGGUCAUCUCAUCUUUUAUUUUAGCUGCCUCAUCUGUUAAAUUUCUGUCUGCUUCUCCACGUAUUUCUUCUCCGCACCAGAUACUUACUAUUAUCGACACGAGUGCCGAAGUUAACCUCCUUUCACAGUCUGCUUUUCUAACACUGCGACAUCAGUUUUCAUCAAAGCUCACUCUACAGGCUUCAAAUAUCUCCAUUAGUGAAGCUGACGUCGUGCUUUCUCACCUUGGCUCUGUUUUACUGAAAAUUCACUUCCUUACAAGUGCACGUCGCAGUCGAGAUUUUUGUUUGUUUUGUUGUUAGGUACUAAUCUCUCCCAUCUGAUGGCUUCCUGGAAUUACCACUCCUCAGCGCCAUCCCGUAGAUUUCUUCCCUGUGGCUCAGGGAACAAGGCAUGUGUCUUGCCCUGCAGCUUUCUCAGACCUUAUGUGCCGCGGACCCACCUUCUGCAUAUCCUUCUGGAUAUCCUUGCGCCACCACAUUCCUUGCCAUCCAUUUCUUUGUGUAUUCACACUAGAGAAGGGUAAAGAUAGAUCAAAUAUUCGCUUUCGUAUUCUCAGGUGAAAAUAAUCAGUUUUUUUUUUUUAUUAUUCUAAUUUGGAUUAGCAUUUCCAUCACUAGUUUUUUUUUCUUUUAAUAUGCGAAUAUUUUCUGAAUUAAAUAAAUAAUAACAUAAAUAAAUAAAUAAGUAAAAUUUGAAAAAAAAAAAAAUAGAGUUUACAGUUUACACAAAUACAUAUGCCACGCUUUAGUGCCUUCGAUACGAGGCACCGUCCCAGACCUGAUCUAUCGGGGAAACCUGGACGUAAAAACCGAUAUGUGCGGCGAGGGAAGACCGAGGAAGCCAAGCGGUAAUCAUGUCUCUCCAACUCCAGGUGGCUCUCAUGUUCACAGUCAUAGUUUUCUGUGAUCCUACUUUUGUAAUUUACGCAAGAUUAAUUCAGUAAUAGAUUUGUAAAUAAAAUGUGUCUGAUGUUAGACUCUCAAAUAUUUACAUACUUAACAUUAGGAAAUUAUAUAUUACCGGUCCUUGAACGAUGGAAUACAGAUUGCGUUGCAUUCACAAUUCGCAUUCGCAUUCGCGAAUAUUGAAACAUAAAAUUCACAUUUGCACUGGCGAAUGCGGACAACAGACAUUCGUUCCAUUCAUAAUUAAUAGGAAGAGAGUGGGUGACAGAACCCUGAGGAACACUACUGUUAACAGGAGGAGUUAAUAGGAGAAAAAAAAUGACCGUCUACCACAGCAGCAAUAGAACGGUCAGAAAGAAAACUUGAGAUGUAGUUACAGAGAAAGGGAUAGAAACCGUAGGAGGGUAGUUUGGAUAUCAAAGCUUUGUGCCAGACUCUAUCAAACGCUUUUGAUAUGUUUAAGGUAACAAAAGUUUCACCAAAAUCUCUAAAAGAGGAUGACCAAGACUCAGUAAGGAAAGCCAGAUCACCAGAAGAGCGGCCUUGACGGAACCUAUACUAUCUAUCAGAUAGAAGGUUGUGAAGUGAUAGACGUUUAAGAAUCUUCCUAUUGAGGAUACAUAAAAAAAAAGAAAUAGAUAGGGAGGGAAUUAAAUCAAUAGGACGGUAGUUUGAGGGAUUAGAACGGCCACCCUUUUUAGGAACAGACUGAAAGUAGGCAAACUUCCAGCAAGAAUGGAGGGUAAAUGCUGUUAGACAGAGUUGAAAGAGUUUGAUUAGGCAAGGUGUAAGCACGGAGGUAAAGCUUCGGAGAACAAUAGGAGUGACCCCAUCAGUUCCAUAAGCAUCCCAAGGAUUUAGGCCAGCUAGGGCAUGUAAAACAUCAUUGCGAAGAAUUUUAAUGUGUAGCAUGAAGACCUUUUUUUUGCAAAGGUUUGAGCAAAGAAUUAAGUUUUAAAGACAGAUGUGAUAGCAGUGGUGCCACCUGGUUGAAAUAAAGGAGGGAAAGAAGAAGAAGCAAAGUUAUUGGUGAUGUUUUUAGCUAGGUGCCAGAGGUCAAGAGGGGAAUUAAACCCUGGAAGAUUUUUGACACUUUCUAUUAAUGAAAGAGUUUUUGGCUUGUUGGAUAACAUACUUGGCAUGGUUCCGGGCAGAAAUAUAAAGCGCAUGGGAUUCUGGUGAUGAAAGGCUCAAAUACUUUUUGUGGGCCACUUCUCUAUCAUGUGCAGCACGAGAACAAGCUGUGUUAAAUCAAGGUUUGGAAGCUUUAGGUCAAGAAAAAGAGUGAGGAAUGUACGCCUCCAUGCCAGACUCUAUCACCUCUGUUAUGCGCUCGGCACACAAAGACGGGUCUCUGUCACGGAAGUAGUAGUCAUUCCAAGGAAAAUCAGCAAAAUGCCUCCUCAGGUCCCCCUAACUAGCAGAGGCAAAACACCAGAGGCGCCUCCACUUAGAGGGAUCCUGAGGAGGGAUUGGAGCGAUAGGACAAGAUACAGAUAUGAGAUUGUGAUCGGAGGAGCCCAACGGAGAAAACAGGAUAACAGCAUAAACAGGAGUAUGCUUCACAUGUCUGGGGGGGUUCACUCAUACUGCUCUUCUAGACAGGGUGGAAUCAAAAGCUUUUCGUUUCAUCAACUCCUCUCCUCUAACUGACUGUCUUCAGCCUCUCUCUCACCGCCGCAAUGUUGCAUAUAUAGCUGUCUUCUACCGCUAUUUUCAUGCUAACUGCUCUUCUGAUCUUGCUAACUGCAUGCCUCCCCUCCUUCCUUGACCUCGCUGCACAAGACUUUCUUCUUUCUCUCACCCCUAUUCUGUCCACCUCUCUCGGUCAAAAAAGGAAACUUGAGAUGAAGUUUGUAUCAUGAAUAUGAUAUUUAUGAAAUUAUGCUUUUUGUAAGGUUGAUCCCACGCAUGUAGUUCGUCAUUUGCUCGUUCGCUGACGUGGCAGCGUCUUGGUAAGGGCUGUCGGGCAGACUUGAGCCAGUCCUGCCGCUCUUCGCCCCGUGGAUGGUUCACCUUGCUACUGUGGUAUGUCAUGUGACUACGUCUCUUGAACGCUUGGAUUUGGUGGAGCAAGGUGGCCAGGGUGCGGCGCCAGUGCAAGUGAUCUCAGGACUGCUUCGGGCUCCUUAGGACCAGUGAUGUUUCGCUGCAUGGUAACGAUCCGAGUAGUGACACGUGUGCAGAUUUGAGACGGCUGUCCAGCACUACUUAGGACGAAAGUGCUAUAGGACCACUGAGCUCGGAUACUUGCUCGAUAUGACCCAGAGACAUCCAAACUUCAGUAUGGGCCGCAUCCUGAUCCUGAAGCGCGAGAGACUAGUGGAGG